UCUAAACAUAGCCACGAGUUUUCUUGUCCAAUUUUAAUCGUCUGUUUUAUUUAAAUCAUUUUUAUGAUUAAUGUUUUUAUUGUUAUUAGAUGAUAAAAUACGAAUAGUACUCUACGCGUGACUUACUUUUUUAAAAAAUAAUUAAUAAAAUGGAUGAUCAAGAUUUAAUACGAAAACUCAUAAUUACUCUUAUA
rfam:Oryza meridionalis cultivar OR44 (W2112) chromosome 4, whole genome shotgun sequence.